CAAUCAUCUAACAUCUCUUUAAUGGACUUGAACUUCAUUCCUAAGCCCUCCAGCUUCGAAGUGUUGAAUUCAUAGGGAGGCGAUCCAGUUCCUUAAACCAGAAAUAGCAGUGUUGGCAAAUGUGAAUCUUCAUCAAAACGGGGCAGAGCUACAUCUUAUGAAGGGAAAAGGAAAAGGGGUGUUAUGCAACUGAUGGGUUUGAGCCAUCUACCUCAACUGUAGAAGGCAAGGAGCUCACCAAAUUAGCCACCCUCAAUGCAUGAAGGGAAUUCAAUUGAAUCCCCUCAGUCGGAAAAUUAUAUUAAAAGGAUAGAAAGAACCGGAGUUCUUUAUCUAUAUGUUGAAUCCCCUUGUACAUGGAAAACUUUAGGGUAGUGGCAUAGGUGGUUCAAAAAUUGCUUUAGGUCGCAGGUUUGAAUCCUUGUUAUGGAAUUCUUGUGUUCUUUUUUUAGUCCCUUCGUUAGAAUUUCUGUUUUCGCCAUUGUAUGUGACAUAGACAAGUAAUGAGAGUAUGAUUAGUUCGAUGUA